rnacentral:rRNA from 1 species
GAUGAAUGCUGGCGGCGUGCCUAACACAUGCAAGUCGAGCGGCAGCGCGAGGAGUUUACUCCUUGGCGGCGAGCGGCGGACGGCUGAGUAACGCGUGGGAACAUACCCCAAAGUGAGGAAUAACUGCCCGAAAGGGUGGCUAAUGCCGCAUAUGAUCUUCGGAUUAAAGGAUUUAUCCGCUUUGGGAAUGGCCUGCGUACGAUUAGAUAGUUGGUGAGGUAAUGGCUCACCAAGUCGACGAUCGUUAGCUGGUCUGAGAGGAUGACCAGCCAGACUGGAACUGAGACACGGUCCAGACUCCUACGGGAGGCAGCAGUGAGGAAUCUUCCACAAUGGGCGAAAGCCUGAUGGAGCAACGCCGCGUGCAGGAUGAAGGCCUUCGGGUUGUAACUGCUUUUAUAAGUGAAGAAUAUGACGGUAACUUAUGAAUAAGCACCGGCUAACUACGUGCCAGCCGCCGCCGUAA